rnacentral:rRNA from 1 species
GACGAACGCUGGCGGCGUGCUUAACACAUGCAAGUCGUACGGUAAGGCCCUUUCGGGGGUACACGAGUGGCGAACGGGUGAGUAACACGUGAGUAACCUGCCCACAACUUUGGGAUAACGCUAGGAAACUGGUGCUAAUACUGGCUAUGUGCUCCUGCUGCAUGGUGGGGGUUGGAAAGCUCCGGCGGUUGUGGAUGGACUCGCGGCCUAUCAGCUUGUUGGUGGGGUAGUGGCCUACCAAGGCGGCGACGGGUAGCCGGCCUGAGAGGGUGACCGGCCACAUUGGGACUGAGGUACGGCCCAGACUUCUACGGGAGGCAGCAGUGGGGAAGAUUGCAAAAUGGGCGCAAGCCUGAUGCAGCAACGCCGCGGGCGGGAUGACGGCCUUCGGGUUGUAAACCGCUUUCAGCAGGGACGAAGCUUUUUGUGACGGUACCUGCAGAAGAAGCACCGGCUAACUACGUG